CCGCAGUGCUAUAUGUACAGAGAAAACGUCAAUCGGCUUCGUUCCUUGUAUCGGAAACUGUGAGGAGAUACGACGGAAAUUUCACUAUCCUGUAGCAAGCACUAAAGCAUGCGGUUCAACGCCACGAGGCAAACGGAUCAGGUAUAUUGAAACAUGCGUUUUGUACGGUGGAGUUACGAAUAGUCUCUGCGGUGGGAAUACCUUGCAAAUGUCCUCGUGCUUCUCGUGUGGAUAUUUUCUCAAGAAACUUCGGAUCCGCCGCAAAAGGGCUCCAACUCCCGCAAGCGCCGAUACUUCAGCUGCUGGAGGCGAACGUCGAAGAGAAGAUUUACCGGAAAUGCCGAAUCCCAUGCAGGUCCAACAGCUACGGACGCACAAGAAUAACAAAUACGAUGUGACUCUGCUCCACCCCGACUGGCGAAAAUUUCCUCACACACCACUUUACGGAUGGACAAACAUUCACGCGCAGCAGUUGACGAAACUGAACCGAAUGAUAGUCAAGGGAAACUUAGAGUCGGCUUACUACAAUUCGGAUAUCGAGUAUCGGGCGGCAAAAUUUGGAAAUAAUUUCACUGUUCUACCACCACCGAACGUCAGCAGCGUGACCGAAGUUGUUCUUCUACUACGCCGAAGUCAGAACUCCGAGUACAAUUUCUGCUGCAGCGAAACACUGGCUGAGUACGACGCGGAUGACGAGUCAGUGCACGUGGUUGGACGUGGAAACGUUGCGACUAGUUUUGUUUCUUCAACGGUGGAUUACGCAGUCCGGGCGUAAUUAUUAAUCAAUUACGCUCGAGAUAGCCCGCCGGGCAAGCGGACAGCAUUGCGAGAAAACAGCAUGAGAUCGCAGCGAUAUUACAAUCACGACAAGCCUCGACGACACAUUAGACAACAAACUGCGGUAUAACUUGUUCGAAGCAUGGACUUUCGAGAGGUAUUUCGUAUCGGAUAGUCACGGAAAACGGUCAAGCUGAAGAUCGAUGAUUGUAGAGAAAAAAAGUUGAAAUCUUAAGCAUUGUCCAGAACCGCAGGCGUGAUUCAUCCGUCAUAAGUGCAGACAAGUAUCCACGCCAGGUCACCGUUCUUUGUUCUCGUUCUUACAAAUAUUUGUUACCUUGUGCAUUUCGUGAGAUGAAAAAUACAGAACGAUUAAUAUAAGAU